AACGGAAAGGCCCUGCUUGCAGGGUACUCGAGUGGCGAACGGGUGAGUAACACGUGGGUGAUCUGCCCUGCACUUCGGGAUAAGCUUGGGAAACUGGGUCUAAUACCGGAUAGGAGCCAUCUUUAGUGUGGUGGUUGGAAAGUUUUUUCGGUGUAGGAUGGGCUCGCGGCCUAUCAGCUUGUUGGUGGGGUAAUGGCCUACCAAGGCGGCGACGGGUAGCCGGCCUGAGAGGGUGUACGGCCACAUUGGGACUGAGAUACGGCCCAGACUCCUACGGGAGGCAGCAGUGGGGAAUAUUGCACAAUGGGCGCAAGCCUGAUGCAGCGACGCCGCGUGGGGGAUGAAGGCCUUCGGGUUGUAAACUCCUUUCGCUAGGGACGAAGCUUUUUUGUGACGGUACCUAGAUAAGAAGCACCGGCUAACUACGUGCCAGCAGCCGCGGUAAUACGUAGGGUGCGAGCGUUGUCCGGAAUUACUGGGCGUAAAGGGCUCGUAGGUGGUUUGUCGCGUCGUCUGUGAAAUUCUGGGGCUUAACUCCGGGCGUGCAGGCGAUACGGGCAUAACUUGAGUGCUGUAGGGGUAACUGGAAUUCCUGUGUAGCGGUGAAAUGCGCAGAUAUCAGGAGGAACACCGAUGGCGAAGGCAGGUUACUGGGCAGUUACUGACGCUGAGGAGCGAAAGCAUGGGUAGCGAACAGGAUUAGAUACCCUGGU
rnacentral:rRNA from 1 species